GGGCCCGCACAAGCGGUGGAGUAUGUGGUUUAAUUCGAUGCAACGCGAAGAACCUUACCAGGGCUUAAAUGUAGUCUGACAGGGGUGGAAACACCUCCUCCUUCGGGCAGAUUACAAGGUGCUGCAUGGUUGUCGUCAGCUCGUGCCGUGAGGUGUCAGGUUAAGUCCUAUAACGAGCGCAACCCCUGCCGUUAGUUGCCAGCAUGUAAUGAUGGGAACUCUAACGGGACUGCCGGUGCAAACCGCGAGGAAGGUGGGGAUGACGUCAAAUCAUCACGGCCCUUACGUCCUGGGCUACACACGUGCUACAAUGGCCGGUACAGAGGGCAGCCACACCGCAAGGUGGAGCGAAUCCUUAAAACCGGUCUCAGUUCGGAUCGGGGUCUGCAACUCGGCCCCGUGAAGCUGGAAUCGCUAGUAAUCGCAGGU
rnacentral:rRNA from 1 species